ACGAACGCUGGCGGCGUGCCUAAUACAUGCAAGUCGAGCGGAAUGAUGAAGAAGCUUGCUUCUUCUGAUUUUUAGCGGCGGACGGGUGAGUAACACGUGGGCAACCUACCUUGUAGAUUGGGAUAACUCCGGGAAACCGGGGCUAAUACCGAAUAAUCCAUUUUGCUUCAUGGCGAGAUGUUGAAAGACGGUUUCGGCUGUCACUACAAGAUGGGCCCGCGGCGCAUUAGCUAGUUGGUAGGGUAAUGGCCUACCAAGGCGACGAUGCGUAGCCGACCUGAGAGGGUGAUCGGCCACACUGGGACUGAGACACGGCCCAGACUCCUACGGGAGGCAGCAGUAGGGAAUCUUCCACAAUGGACGAAAGUCUGAUGGAGCAACGCCGCGUGAGUGAAGAAGGUUUUCGGAUCGUAAAACUCUGUUGUAAGGGAAGAACACGUACGAGAGUAACUGCUCGUACCUUGACGGUACCUUAUUAGAAAGCCACGGCUAACUACGUG
rnacentral:rRNA from 1 species